UUUUCGCAAGGAAAUAAUGUGAACGUUGAUUCACGUGAAUUUCACGUGAAAAGAUUCACACGAAUUUCACGUGAAAUUUCUUCAUGUGAAAUUCACACGAACAAUUUCACACGAAUUUCACGUGAAAAGCUAUUCACGUUAAAAAUUUCACAAGAAAAGCGAUUAAAGUGAAAUAUUCACACUUCUUAAUAUAUUCAAGCGAAAAAAUAAAUGAAAUUAAGGUAAAAUAUAAAACGAUAUGGAGAUUAGGCAAUUCAAAAGUUAGAGUACAUUUAUAAAAUGUAGGCAAACGACCAAUAAAGUAGAUCCUGCUCACGCCUCCCUCUCCUCGUUUAUUUGCGAAAUUAUUAACUUGCAUUGUAGUUCUGUACGCAGUAUGAUUACAUGUACUUUCCACACCUGAUUUCUCUCAUUUCCCAUUAUUUUUUCUCUUAAGAAUUAAAAUAUAAAUUAAAUCUCCCAUCAUCAUAGAUAUUAAUGAAAGCAUAUUUUCCAACUACUUGAAGAAUCACUAUAUUGAUAGAGUUAGAAUAUGCAACUUCAAAACCACGAAAUUUUCUAAACAUGGAAAAUUACUAUUUUACAGUAAAAUCAGAAAGAACUAUGAAUUAAAACUAUUAAGACCAUUUGAAAUUUCCAUUUGUGAGAGUAGUACGUUUUAAAUAGCUAAGAAUAUUUGCCCACUCUUUAGAUAUUAAAACUGGUUGAUAUUCAAAACCAUGCAUUCCAAAAGAUUGUUGUUUUUGUCAGUUUUGUAAAACUACUGAAGAUGAGUUAACUUUUUUAUCUCGCUGCUUUAUGAUGUUGGUAACAGGCUACUUGUCGGAGUGCACUUGGGCUGUUUACAUACAUGUGAUUUGAGGGUAGUAUUGUGCAGGUGGGAAAAAAUGCCAUGAUAUUGUUUUCCGCUGUCGGUAGUUUGGCAUCAAUUUUAAUUACCCCCCCUCCUUAUUAGAUACAUCGAGAAUAAUUACCGGUGUGAUACCUUGGAAGCUGGUGUAUGCAUAAAGUUAGACUUAUUGGAAAUUGCUGAUACACGCAUGUAGAAAUGAAAAUUUUCUAUCAGCCGUAUUCACCAUCCCGAAUUUGUAGAUCGUCAAUCAAAAGGAAAACACAGAUUUCUAGCACUCGGAAGAAAGCGAAAAACAUAAACAAUCCUUAACAAUACUGUCCAUGUAUAUUUAGAUAACUUUUUAAAAAAUAUAUAAAGCUUUACACUGUAACAGUCAGAUUCCGGUAAUAGUUACAAGACUGUGACGUCACACUCGAGUAAGCCGUCUGACGUAUGCAAGACAGCGAAUGUGAAAGUACAUAGUUUCUAAACUCUACAGACUGAUGAGAAUUACUUUAGACGGGGUACGUCAACGAAUAGGCACGACAGCGAAAAUACGGAAGUCACUUCGGGGACGUGUCGCAGAAUCGCAUAACUCUACACGAGAUUAAAAGAAAGACAAAAAAGACAAUGAAGACAACCAUUUAAAAACAAAUUCAAUCAAUUAAAUUACCAGCAGCUCGAAAGCAGAUUUGUACUCCUUUUUGUGUUCAUCUGAACCCGAGAUUCAGGGUAUCAAAAUAUCCAUGUAUGAUUUAACGUUAUAAAGUUUAUGUGAAAUUCACGUGAAUUUUAUGUGAAAUUCAUGUUAAAGAUUUCACGUGAAUUUUAUGUGAAUUUCACGUGAUUUUUUUUCGUGUGAAUUCACAUUUGAUGCUCUUUUAACGUGAAUUUCACAUAGAAAUUUUCACGUGAAAUUCAUGUGAAUUUCACGUGAAAUUCACGUGAGGCACAUUUGCCUGUGUAUAUCAGUAGUAUUUAAACAUGCAACCAUAACCAUAGCAUAUACCAAUUUCCUUUCUAUCUCUAAAGUCUAACCUGAAGUACAACAACCAGUUUGGGCAAAUAACCGUGAUUUAUUAGCAUAUGUAGGUAAUUAAUAAUCACAUAAGGAGAAAUCAUGGUUAACCUUCUAAUCUCCUUCUACAAGAACUACUAUAAAAUGCAAGGAAAAAAAUGUAAUAAGAGCAUCUCCCUAUGUUUUGGAACAUUACAAAUCGUGUUGUCUUGCUUAAAAACUGUAUGGCCUUUGCCCUUGAAGAAUUAUUUGAAAGUAAUGAUAUCCUAGAAUUUCAAAUGCCAAAGUAGGAAUUGCUUUACGCAUUGUUUGGCUAAUUAAACUGUUACGACUUGAAUUAGAUAAUUAAGAUGAUUGGUUGAGA